GCAAACAGGAUUAGAUACCCUGGUAGUCCACGCCGUAAACGAUGUCGACUUGGAGGUUGUUCCCUUGAGGAGUGGCUUCCGGAGCUAACGCGUUAAGUCGACCGCCUGGGGAGUACGGCCGCAAGGUUAAAACUCAAAUGAAUUGACGGGGGCCCGCACAAGCGGUGGAGCAUGUGGUUUAAUUCGAUGCAACGCGAAGAACCUUACCUACUCUUGACAUCCAGAGAACUUAGCAGAGAUGCUUUGGUGCCUUCGGGAACUCUGAGACAGGUGCUGCAUGGCUGUCGUCAGCUCGUGUUGUGAAAUGUUGGGUUAAGUCCCGCAACGAGCGCAACCCUUAUCCUUUGUUGCCAGCGGUUAGGCCGGGAACUCAAAGGAGACUGCCAGUGAUAAACUGGAGGAAGGUGGGGAUGACGUCAAGUCAUCAUGGCCCUUACGAGUAGGGCUACACACGUGCUACAAUGGCGCAUACAAAGAGAAGCGACCUCGCGAGAGCAAGCGGACCUCAUAAAGUGCGUCGUAGUCCGGAUUGGAGUCUGCAACUCGACUCCAUGAAGUCGGAAUCGCUAGUAAUCGUAGAUCAGAAUGCUACGGUGAAUACGUUCCCGGGCCUUGUACACACCGCCCGUCACACCAUGGGAGUGGGUUGCAAAAGAAGUAGGUAGCUUAACCUUCGGGAGGGCGCUUACCACUUUGUGAUUCAUGACUGGGGU
rnacentral:rRNA from 1 species